AGUGAACGCUGGCGGUAGGCCUAACACAUGCUAGUCGAACGGCAGCACAGUAAGAGCUUGCUCUUACGGGUGGCGAGUGACGGACGGGUGAGGAAUACAUCGGAAUCUACUUUUUCGUGGGGGAUAACGUAGGGAAACUUACGCUAAUACCGCAUACGACCUACGGGUGAAAGCAGGGGAUCUUCGGACCUUGCGCGAUUGAAUGAGCCGAUGUCGGAUUAGCUAGUUGGCGGGGUAAAGGCCCACCAAGGCGACGAUCCGUAGCUGGUCUGAGAGGAUGAUCAGCCACACUGGAACUGAGACACGGUCCAGACUCCUACGGGAGGCAGCAGUGGGGAAUAUUGGACAAUGGGCGCAAGCCUGAUCCAGCCAUACCGCGUGGGUGAAGAAGGCCUUCGGGUUGUAAAGCCCUUUUGUUGGGAAAGAAAAGCAGCAGGUUAAUACCCCGCUGUCCUGACGGUACCCAAAGAAUAAGCACCGGCUAACUUCGUG
rnacentral:rRNA from 1 species